rnacentral:siRNA from 1 species
UAACAUUGAUUUCAGGCCUGAG